GGGGAAUUUUGGACAAUGGGCGCAAGCCUGAUCCAGCCAUGCCGCGUGUCUGAAGAAGGCCUUCGGGUUGUAAAGGACUUUUGUCAGGGAAGAAAAGGCUGUUGCUAAUACCAGCGGCUGAUGACGGUACCUGAAGAAUAAGCACCGGCUAACUACGUGCCAGCAGCCGCGGUAAUACGUAGGGUGCGAGCGUUAAUCGGAAUUACUGGGCGUAAAGCGGGCGCAGACGGUUACUUAAGCAGGAUGUGAAAUCCCCGGGCUCAACCCGGGAACUGCGUUCUGAACUGGGUGACUCGAGUGUGUCAGAGGGAAGUAGAAUUCCACGUGUAGCAGUGAAAUGCGUAGAGAUGUGGAGGAAUACCGAUGGCGAAGGCAGCCUCCUGGGAUAACACUGACGUUCAUGCCCGAAAGCGUGGGUAGCAAACAGGAUUAGAUACCCUGGUAGUCCACGCCCUAAACGAUGUCAAUUAGCUGUUGGGCAACCUGAUUGCUUAGUAGCGUAGCUAACGCGUGAAAUUGACCGCCUGGGGAGUACGGUCGCAAGAUUA
rnacentral:rRNA from 1 species